rnacentral:misc_RNA from 1 species
GUGAAAUAUUUGUAGUUUGGAAUUUGAUCAUGUGGUUUUCCUUCGACGUGGUGUCACCUUUUUAGUUAGACUUGAAAAGCCUGAUAUGCUGUAGUUAUAAUUAUGUGCAUUAUGCUUUAGCUUUAAAAGGUUGCUUUUUGCUCAGAUCUCUUUUAUUACUUUUUUGUCAUUUCCAUUUCCAGAUGAUAGAAGAAAUGGCUGUUGAAAAGUUGUUUUAAAUUUGUGUGCUUAUCCUAUAACAUCUAUGUGCCAAUUUUCUGCUGUUAUAAUCGGGAUAUUACCCUUAAUAUGUGAAUUUAGGCAUAUGCAUUUUUGUGGUCAAAAACAUUUUCUUUUUUCUGCUUUGAUUGAUGUUGUAGAUAAAAUAAGUUCAUGUGCCUUGUACUCCCAAGCUUGCUAAUUUUUUAAUUGUAGAGUAAAUGUGUUUGAUUAUGUGUAUGUACAUCUCAUUUUCGUCUUGACAAGAUAAAGCAUUUUAUAGAUGGUACCACAUAUGAACCUAUGGGGUCAUAUUUUUUUAACAACUACCAUAAUUAUUUUGGUCCAUUAGAAUGGUAGAAUGGAAUUCAAAUGCUGAGAUGCUGACUCUCAGUUAUCUUUAUUUUCACUCAGCCAAUGGAGAUGAUUGAAUAAAAUAUAUAUGCAGCUUGUCUGGCUGCUGAAUACCUUGAAAUAUUAUUUGCAGUCAGUAAAAAGGAAAAACAGUAUCAUCUUUUAGCUGGCAUAGAGGUAGCACAUUCUUUUUCCUGGCUGAGGGUUGAUACAUCCAUAUGACUUGUAUUUAGGGGCUAUUAAUAUUGUUUAAGAUAUGGAGGUGUAUUAUAAGUCCUUAGAUGAAAAGAAAACAAGAACAAAAAGCAACACAAAAGAUUCAUGAUACAGAAUUUUUAUUUUUGUGUGGAGACAACUUUGGCACCUUUGAUGAUUUAUCUUCCCCUGGUUCAGUCCUUCUCA